AAAACAAACGCGGACGACAAAAAAAAUAGGAAAAAAAACUCAAAGACUAUCAUGAUCAAAAGGUAGGGGAGACGGUUUCCGUUUUGAUUCUUUAUUGUGAUUUUUUUCGUUUUCAUCAUCUCUUGAGUGAAAUCU
rnacentral:ribozyme from 1 species